UACGUAGGGUGCAAGCGUUGUCCGGAAUUAUUGGGCGUAAAGAGCUCGUAGGCGGUUUGUCGCGUCGGCUGUGAAAGCCCGGAGCUCAACUCCGGGUCUGCAGUCGAUACGGGCAGACUUGAGUGUUGCAGGGGAGACUGGAAUUCCUGGUGUAGCGGUGAAAUGCGCAGAUAUCAGGAGGAACACCGGUGGCGAAGGCGGGUCUCUGGGCAACACGUGACGCUGAGGAGCGAAAGCGUGGGGAGCGAACAGG
rnacentral:rRNA from 1 species